AUAUCAAUAAGCGGAGGAAAAGAAACUAACAAGGAUUCCCCUAGUAACGGCGAGUGAAGCGGGAAAAGCUCAAAUUUGAAAUCUUGCAGGUAUCCUGCACGAAUUGUAGUUUAAGGAAACGUUUUUCGGGUCUGGCGUGGGUACAAGUCCUUUGGAACAAGGCGUCAUAGAGGGUGAGAAUCCCGUUCUUGAUCCACAUCCCAGGCCUGUGUGAUACGUUUUCCAAGAGUCGGUUUGUUUGGGAAUGCAGACCAAAAUGGGUGGUAAAUACCAUCUAAAGCUAAAUAUUGGCGAGAGACCGAUAGCGCACAAGUA
rnacentral:rRNA from 1 species